AGAUGUGAGGAUGAUCUGGCUGCGACAUCUGUCGCCCCAUUGAUUGCCAGGGAUGAUUUGGCUGAUUUGCCUGGCUAGGCGGGUGUUCCCUUCCUCCCUCACCACUCCAUGUGUGUCCCUCCCAAAGUUGCAUACUCAGUCGAAGAGGACAACCUUCCCCAAUAGAGGAGGACCAUUCUUCAGUCAAGGAUAUGCAAGUAGCUGCAUGCCCCUGCUAGAACCUCCAAACAGGCUGAAAAGAUGAUAGACAAAUGGCAAAAAAACAUAUGAAAAAAUGUUCAACAUCACUAAACAUCAGGGAAAUGCAAAAUU
rnacentral:snRNA from 1 species